GACGAACGCUGGCGGCGUGCUUAACACAUGCGAGUCGAACGGAAAGGCCCUGCUUUUGUGGGGUGCUCGAGUGGCGAACGGGUGAGUAACACGUGAGUAACCUGCCCUUGACUUUGGGAUAACUUCAGGAAACUGGGGCUAAUACCGGAUAGGAGCUCCUGCUGCAUGGUGGGGGUUGGAAAGUUUCGGCGGUUGGGGAUGGACUCGCGGCUUAUCAGCUUGUUGGUGGGGUAGUGGCUUACCAAGGCUUUGACGGGUAGCCGGCCUGAGAGGGUGACCGGCCACAUUGGGACUGAGAUACGGCCCAGACUCCUACGGGAGGCAGCAGUGGGGAAUAUUGCACAAUGGGCGAAAGCCUGAUGCAGCAACGCCGCGUGCGGGAUGACGGCCUUCGGGUUGUAAACCGCUUUCGCCUGUGACGAAGCGUGAGUGACGGUAAUGGGUAAAGAAGCACCGGCUAACUACGUG
rnacentral:rRNA from 1 species